rnacentral:rRNA from 1 species
UACGGGGGGGGCAAGCGUUGUUCGGAAUUACUGGGCGUAAAGGGCUCGUAGGCGGCCAACUAAGUCGGAUGUGAAAUCCCCAGGCUUAACCUGGGAACUGCAUCCGAUACUGGAUGGCUUGAAUCCGGGAGAGGGAUGCGGAAUUCCAGGUGUAGCGGUGAAAUGCGUAGAUAUCUGGAGGAACACCGGUGGCGAAGGCGGGACUCUGGGCCGAUACUGACGCUGAGGAGCGAAAGCGUGGGGAGCGAACAGG